rnacentral:tRNA from 1 species
GCUGUUAUGGCUCAGGUGGUAGAGCACAUCCUUGGUAAGGAUGAGGUCGGCAGUUCGAGUCUGCCUAACAGCUCCA